GUAUCUUUCAAGUAGCUUCUGUGGCGGUUGUGAGAGCCUCGCCGCUUAUUUUGCCGAAACCAUAGAGAGAACCGGGAGCCUGACCCAGGACGUGUAGCUGUUAGUAAAUGCAUAUGCAUGUAAGUUACUUCGCCUCGAGACUUGGAAACAGAAGAAACAGACAGGAAGACAAACUUUCAAAAGACUGAAUAACAAAGAGCAAAUGACGAAAACUUUAUAACGGAAUCAACACAACGGAUACACAGUAAUAACGAAGACAAAAUAAGGAAGAAACACAACGAAGCGAAAAUAAUGAAUAACAUAACGACGAUAAAAAGGACGAAGCAAAA